rnacentral:rRNA from 1 species
UACGGGGGGGGCAAGCGUUGUUCGGAAUUACUGGGCGUAAAGGGCUCGUAGGUGGCCAACUAAGUCGGACGUGAAAUCCCUCGGCUUAACCGGGGAACUGCGUCCGAUACUGGUUGGCUUGAGUUUGGGAGAGGGAUGCGGAAUUCCAGGUGUAGCGGUGAAAUGCGUAGAUAUCACUUGGAACGCCAAUGGUGAAGACAGCUCGCUGGGGGUGUCCUGACGCUGAGGCGCGAAAGCCAGGGGAGCGAACGGG